rnacentral:rRNA from 1 species
AUACGGAGGGAGCAAGCGUUAUUCGGAAUCACUGGGCGUAAAGGACGCGUAGGCGGGUUUGUAAGUCAGGUGUGAAAUCCUACAGCUCAACUGUAGAACUGCACUUGAAACUACAGACCUAGAGUAUGGAAGGGGCAGAUGGAAUUAGUGGUGUAGGGGUAAAAUCCGUAGAUAUCACUAGGAAUACCGAAAGCGAAGGCGAUCUGCUGGGACGUUACUGACGCUGAGGCGUGAAAGCGUGGGGAGUAAACAGGAUUAGAUACCCUAGUAGUCC